GAACAAACCUGAGGAAAGACUGGCUAAUAUAGAGACAAUGUAAACAAACAACAGAUGUGCAGAGAUUUAAACUGCUUUCAUCUGAUAUAUGAGUAAAAUGUCACUUUCAAACUUAGUGAUGGAAAGACAUUACAGAGAGGAAAACACUAUUAUCCUUUCAUCCACAGAAGGAAGAAAGGUUUACUUGAGAGGACGUUUUACAAGAGCUCAUCCUAGUGUUAGGUGACAGAACUCCAACCUUGACAAUGAAUCUCUACUCAAUACUACAAUAAGCCACAGAGAGUAUGUACAGAUUCCUGCAUCUGCAAGAAAAAUGUACACACUGGACAAGAAUCUCUGCUAAACAAAAGGGAUAAAAUAAG
ensembl:lncRNA